UAGUGGCGGACGGGUGAGUAACGCGUGGGAAUCUGCCCUCAGGAGGGGGAUAACGGUUGGAAACGACCGCUAAUACCCCAUAUGCCGAGAGGUGAAACGAAAUUCGCCUGAGGAUGAGCCCGCGUCUGAUUAGCUAGUUGGUGGGGUAAAGGCCUACCAAGGCAUCGAUCGGUAGCUGGUCUGAGAGGAUGAUCAGCCACACUGGGACUGAGACACGGCCCAGACUCCUACGGGAGGCAGCAGUGGGGAAUUUUCCGCAAUGGGCGCAAGCCUGACGGAGCAACGCCGCGUGAGGGAUGAAGGCCUCUGGGCUGUAAACCUCUUUUCUCAAGGAAGAAGAACUGACGGUACUUGAGGAAUAAGCCACGGCUAA
rnacentral:rRNA from 1 species